CCCACUCCAGCCUGGAGCAGCACUCAGUGCCGUCCAGGCUGAAAGCAUCGGAGCUAUUUCAGACACAUUAAAAGGGUCACAGGCAAUACCUCAGCUGGUUAGAAGAAGGUACCUCUUUCAGCAUCAAAAGGAGGGAUAAGCCUCUGUCGUAAAAAUGUCAAAACAACCAGCAUCACAUGUCAAAGCCAUUCAGGCUAAUAUUAACAUCCCAAUGGGAGCAUUUCGACCUGGUGCAGGCCACCCUCAUAAAAGAAAAGAACUUACACCUGAAGAAGUGGAGGAGAAUGUUCCUGCUUCAACAGAGGAGGAGAAAGAGAAGAAGUUGUUCCCAGGAGCUAAGAAACUUCCAGGUCCUGCUGUCAACUUGUCAGAGAUUCAGAACAUAAAGAGUGAGCUGAAAUAUGUCCCCAAAGCUGAACAGUAGCUGGGAGAAGCAGUUCUCAAGAAAAGAAGAGCUCUCUCUGUGAAGACGAGGCAUAUUUUCAGUUUUUCAGCCCAUUUUGCUGAAAGUAAAGUCUGACAAGUGAAACUGGAUGGAUUCCAAUGAAUGGAGAAAAUUUCAAAUAUUUUAUAUAUUUGUAUGAAGACCAUGAACUUCCCAACUCUUCAAUACCCUGUAGGAAGUAUCUUCUUUGUACAUUUAUAUCAAUGCUUUCUUGUUGUCCAUUUUGUUUAAUAUAGGAAAGUAGUGCUGAAAUAGAACAAAGAAACUAGCAAUGAAUAUAGGAAUGAUUUUGACCUGAGAACAGGGAGUAGUGUAAUUUGAAGCUUGAGCAACACUAGAAAAAAACUUUUAAAAAUUACAUAAUUAUUUUCAAUUAAUUUCUUUCUAUUUGAAAAAUGUCAAUGUGUGCAAAAGAGUUUUUAAAUGACUUCACAAAAUGCAGAAUAAAUGAGGAAUAUAACACCUUUUGUCCUAUUGUGAGUUCCUGUUAUAGAAGAGGAAUCAUGUAUUGUGUAAUAAAGGAAAUGAAAAUAUUAAAAUCAAUGGUCUUUCUGGUGAGUUGAGCCAAAUUCUUCUUUUGUUGUAGAGACAAAGUGUUUCCUUUCCUCCGGAAUCUAAAAUGCACUGCAUUCCUGUUCUGAUACUUUUGCUUCACCUUUAUACAAAAAAUAUACAAGAUGUGAGGUAGCUGACAGAAAACCUGCAACCUUUAUUCAAAUAACCAGUCAUCCGGCCUUGAUGGAACACACUCAUGAAUGUAGCUUGGAGGAUCAUUAUCUUCAGAAGCUCAAAUCAAAAGGAGACAUUGGAAUAUGGAUGCUGGGCAAAAGUAAUGUAUGAUCACAGAGCAAAAGUAAUGUAUGAUCACACCACCUCUUAUACAGUGACUAAUCCUUGAUGCUUGCAUUAUAUGGACUGUACAUAAAAGAAGACUGCUUGAUGCAUAUUGUAUUUUUGGAAAUGAGAUCCUAUUGUAAGAGAAAUUUAAUACACUGUGCCUCCUUGUUCUCUUUUAUGUUACUUACAGUAAAGGGAUAUGAGGACCUGUUUUUAAUAACUUUCUUCUAAUGUUGAUUGAAACUAUUCUACAUACUUCGAAUCUCUCUGCCUGGCUCUUGUUUAUUCAAAUAAAAUAAAGAUAAUUAUUCUGGUUAGAAAACAGA